UACAUAGAGUGCAAGCGUUAUUCGGAUUCACUGGGCGUAAAGGGUUCGCAGGCGGCCAAGCGUGUCAGGCGUGAAAGCCUGGGGCUUAACUCCAGAAUUGCACCUCAAACUACAUGGCUAGAGCAUUGGAGAGGGUAGCAGAAUUCACGGUGUAGCAGUGAAAUGCGUAGAUAUCGGGAGGAAUACCAGAGGCGAAGGCGGCUACCUGGACAAUUGCUGACGCUCAGGCACGAAAGCGUGGGGAGCAAAAGGG
rnacentral:rRNA from 1 species